rnacentral:rRNA from 1 species
AGGACGAACGCUGGCGGCGUGCUUAACACAUGCAAGUCGAGCGGAAAGGCCCUUCGGGGUACUCGAGCGGCGAACGGGUGAGUAACACGUGGGUAACCUGCCCCAGACUUUGGGAUAACCCUCGGAAACGGGGGCUAAUACCGAAUAUGACUUUGACCCGCAUGGGUUUUUUGUGGAAAGUUUUUCGGUUUGGGAUGGACUCGCGGCCUAUCAGCUUGUUGGUGAGGUAAUGGCUCACCAAGGCGAGGACGGGUAGCC